UUGAGGAAGCGCAGCUGCGCAUUUGAUACGAUUACGACGCAAACAUUCGUUCGGAAGCACAGCCGCAUAUUUAUAUCGCAAAUUAAAUUAUUGAAUAUUGGGUCUCUUAGGUACCUACUAGGUGGUUGCUGAAACUUGCAAAUUUACUGUCUGUUGAGUGGUCAAGGUCUCUGAUUCACACCGGAACGAUGGAGGACCAGGCCCGCGCCAAAAAGGAAACCUUCGACAUUCUCACUGAAAUAUCGAAUAUCCUCAACACAGGCCUGGACGGCGAGACCCUCUCGAGGUGUGUCCGUCUCUGUGAGAACGGCGUCAACCCCGAGUCCCUGGCAAACGUGAUCAAGGAGCUGCGCCGAGAGUCGGCCGCUAUCCGAGAGGCGGAGAGCGUCACUCCGCCGCCCUAGCGGUGACUCGGGGAACUACUGUGGUGGCGCUGUGAUACACGGACGAGUGCCAGCAGCCGGACUGCCAUUUUAGGCAGAAGGCUGUGAUGGAUUCAGUGCUGGAAGGACUGACUGGGCAGCUGACUCCAGACGUUGUGAUGGAAUGGAUUGAGUGUUAUGCCAUGAUGAUAUGAACACGUAGGCCGUGUCAUUUGAUGAUAUGAACAUGUAGGUCCUUGUCAGUUCAUGCUUCAUCCUCGGUCUAGGAGAGUAGAUCUCACAUGUAGGUAGCGCCGAUAUUAAUUCGCGUAUUGCACAGCGAGCCCAAUCGAGAGAGAAUGAACCAAUGACUCUGUCAAUUGUCAUAAAGUUAAAGCACUGUUCAGACCCAGACGUCUCAACAUGCGACGUUCGCAUAGCGUUUGUGGAAACGGAAAACGACGUCUUCGAAUGUGUGUCGCCGGCGCGGUAAUGAUUGCUAACUGCUCAGGAUCUCGUAACAUAUUCUGCGACCGUUUGGCCGUUCACUUAUCAGUGCAUCAUUUGAAAGUAUAAUCUCGGCUGCCUCCUCUAUCUGUACUUAUGUCUGUCAUGCAAGCCGGUGUCAGUGAGCGUGUCGAGAAGCUUUGCGUGGCGUGCAGUAUUGAACUGCUAGCUCUACGGGUCACGUCUAUUCUUCUGUGACAUUUAGUGCAGACCUGCCAUUUGCUCGACGCUAAUACACAGUUCGACUAA